CUUGUGCUCCCUCUUGUCUUUCAGUUUCCUCCUGUUUCUCCAGUUGACCUCAUGCCCCAGACUGUUUAAUUUAGGGUCCUGGCUGGUGCCAGAGUGAAGGGGAGAUCUACUGGGGAAUGUGAGCUGCUAGCAAAAAAGCGAGUGUCUGGACUCGCAUAACAGAGCAGCUUCUCCCAAACUCUGUCUGACCCUCAUCUACCCCCCUGCCCCCAGCCCAUCACCCCUGCAGGAGACAUCCGGGAGCCUUGUGUGCCGUCACUUCCUGUAUCCACACUUCAUGCAGGAGUCAGACUGCAGGCGUCGGGCCGCCUGAAUGGGAGCGAGGCUGCAGGAAACAAGACUCCCCCUCUACCUCAUCAAGUGUCUCUUUUCACAGAGUCUGAAUGAGCACAUAAACAGGGCUCUGAUUUCACACCACUCUGGCUUGUUAUUGGCCCACUGACGUGCCAAGCCCCGAGUUGGGUGCACAGCUUGCGUCUACCUGAAAAUGGCCUAAUAAUUGCAAGUUACCAGACAGAUCGACGCCUUUGGCCUUCCUUCUGACGCACAAAUUGACGAGCGAGCCCGCUUUCCGCUGUGACAUGCCAGAUUUUAACGCAUCUUAAGGUCCCACAUUGAGAAGAUAGCCAGUGUUGACCCAGCUCUGAGGAGAGAAUGACAGCGCAGAAAGAGAAGACGUGCUCUGUUGCAGUCGGCUCUUGUUUCAGUCUGACAUUAAGAGCACAUGACGUUCAUGUCACUGAGGUUUUCAGUGCCGGACGUAUCUGCAGGACCGACAUUCUCCCGUCCCUCCUCUGCCGGACAGGAUUCCAUCCCUACAAUUAUAAUUGGAGACAAAAACAAAGUAAGAGCUGACGGGACGUGUGUGUCGGCCAAGUGCGACGCUGGUCUGGAUCCUGUCGGAGGCUGAAGCAGGUACAUGCUGGAAUCAAAGUGCACCAGCUGAGGACGGAGGGCAGGACGCGAGCGGGUGUUUGGAGAGAUAAGGGAAGACAGGGGAGCCACGCUGCCUUCUUUUUUUUUUUUUUUAGGGGAAUUAAGUGAGCAUGAACAAUAAAUGAACAAUUCAGAAGAGCUGACUGACAUUAUAAAUCGAAUAAAAUUAACUUUGUCUGCCAAAAGUGCAAAUUUUAUCCCGCUGACCUCAGCCUGUUAAAACAGGAGUUGAUGAA